CACAUUCGGGGCGCUUCGGCGCUCCUUAUACACCCACCCUCUGCCUACGUGUACCUCUAUAGCUUCCUCGGCGGGCUCGCCCGCCGCCAGGAACCACGAAACCCCUUGCAUUAUACGCGAAAACUUCUGAUAACAAACCUAAAUUAUCA
rnacentral:misc_RNA from 1 species